CCUGCACUUCCCGGGCCAGGAGACUGUGAACUCUGAAAGAGAGACGGGGUGUAGAGGAUUUCCUGGACCCGCGACUGUAAGGGCUGCGGGAGUAAGGGGCAGGGGCUUCAAGACGGCAGAGUAGAAGGAUGUGAAGCUCACUGUCUUCCACAAAUAACAUCAAAAAUUCAUCUACAUGUGGAACAAUCCUCACAGAAUACCUACUGAACUCUGGUAGAAGAUCUUAUAUAACUGCAACUACAAGAAAAAUCUUCAAGUAACCAGUCCUUUUCAGUCAGGCCAUGCCUGUUUUGUUUUUAAAUGGUGCUAAGAAUCCACCUGAAAGAGGCUUUCCUUGGCUAGAGUCAAAGGCUGCAGUGCCUCUGGCUACCUUCCUACCUCACUGGCUUGGCAUCCGCAGCAGAGUGAAGUCUUUGUCUUUGCUUAGUUUCAAUCUGGAGCUACCAGAUUCUCCUUGGAAAGAAGAGUCUUUGAAUUUCCUUGGGCUAAAGACUGCCACCUCCCUCCUCACCUGCACUAGGACAGUGAAGAGAUGCCUGUCCUGAAGAGGGCUUCCACGAGAGCCAGGGUACUCCCAAUCAAAGUCCAGCCCGUCAAAUCCAUACUGACGCAGGAAUUUGAUGACUGAGGCGAUGAAAGUCUGGCGGUUCUCCUGAGUGGAAACCAUGGCAGUGAAACUGAAGGGGAUCCAAAGAAAGUAGGGUGAGGCCUUGGUUGUCCCAACACCUUGUAGUGAAAUCAAACCCCUAUAUUACUUCCUCAGAGCUCUUCGCCAGGACCACAGCCCAGAAAAAAGUAUGUUCUUGGUUUUCUCCUGUCCUUACUUUGUAAUCACUGCUGUGCCCAACCAUGGUACCUCAAUGUUCUCUUUAUUUUGUUAUCCACCUGACUCUAAUGUUUUUCCUAAAUUGCACUUGUUGCUUUAAACACCUGGCUCCGCUGGCUCACUGUGUUCUCUCUCCAAAUAGUUGCCCAAGUUUGUACACCCUCGAGGAUGUCUUCUUCUUUAUUUGCAUGACUUCCUUUUCUUUUUUCCCAGAAAGUAAAUAGAGAGAUGUCCUUUAACACUCUCCUCAGGAGUUUUGCUUUUGAAAUACUUUAAGAAGAGAUUGUUAUAGAUAGACGAGAUUAUACUGUAUAGCACAGGGAAAUAUACACAAAAUCUUAUGGUAGCUCACAGAGAAAAAAAGUGACAAUGAGUGUGUAAAUGUCUAUGUAUGACUGAAAAAUUGUGCUGAACACUGAAAUUUGACACAACAUUGUAAAAUGAUUAUAAAUCAAUAAAAAUGUUAUUUAAAAAAAAGAAGAGGUUGUUUUAAAACCUCAGUAACUAAACUUCUGUGAGUGGGGUUCCAGAAUAUCCAUCUAAAUGUAAACACACAAUAAACUGUGUUCUAUUUAAUAUUCAGAUUCUAGUGUAGCAAUUUAUUUAAGUAGCAGAUCUGUUUAGUGUACAUUCCUAAUAUCCUGACUUAGAUUGUGAAAUCUGAAGGGAC